rnacentral:rRNA from 1 species
UACAGAGGGUGCAAGCGUUAAUCGGAAUUACUGGGCGUAAAGCGUGCGUAGACGGUAGCGUAAGUCGGGUGUGAAAGCCCCGGGCUCAACCUGGGAAUUGCAUUCGAGACUGCUCUGCUAGGGUGCGGAAGAGGGAAGCGGAAUUUCCGGUGUGAGCGGUGAAAUGCGUAGAGAUCGGAAGGAACGUCAAUGGCGAAGGCAGCCACCUGGCAUCAUACUGACGCUGAGGCGCGAGAGCGUGGGGAGCGAACAGG